GACGAACGCUGGCGGCGUGCUUAACACAUGCAAGUCGAGCGGUAAGGCCCUUUCGGGGGUACACGAGCGGCGAACGGGUGAGUAACACGUGGGAAUCUGCCUAUUAGUGGGGGACAACCCGGGGAAACUCGGGCUAAUACCGCAUACGCUCUACGGAGGAAAGCCGGGGACCGCAAGGCCUGGCGCUAAUAGAUGAGCCCAAGUCGGAUUAGCUAGUUGGUAGGGUAAUGGCCUACCAAGGCGACGAUCGGUAGCUGGUCUGAGAGGACGACCAGCCACACUGGGACUGAGACACGGCCCAGACUCCUACGGGAGGCAGCAGUGGGGAAUAUUGGACAAUGGGCGCAAGCCUGAUCCAGCGAUGCCGCGUGUGUGAAGAAGGCCUG
rnacentral:rRNA from 1 species